UAAAAUAUCUAUACAUAUAAUAAAAUCGUAGAAAAGUGCUGUCUGUACAUUGAAAAUAAAAAUAAAAAAAAUAGCAGGGGUUAUUGUUAUGUCGAUGUCGAACCAAAAUGUAAUUAACUUUUUUUUGUCUGUUUGUCUGUUUGUCUGUUUGUCUGUUUGUCUGUUUGUCUGUUUGUCUGUUCGUCUGUGCGCGCUAAUCUCAGAAACGGCUGAUCCGAGUUGGAUGCGGUUUUCACGAAUAUAUUGUGGGAUGCUUAAAUUUACAUUUAGUGUUUGUUUCAUGUCAAUCGGUUCAUAAAUAAAAAAGUUAUGUCAAAUUAAAGAAUCACGUCGAACAUUCUAUGCUUAUACCAUUAAUCUCCGCAACUAUUUGACGGAUUUGGUUGAAAUUUGGUACAGAUAUAGUUUAGAACCUUAGAAAGGACAUAGAUAUAUUUUUAUUUCAAAAAUCAAAAAAUAAAAAUAAGAAAUAAAUUAUUUAUAAAUAAUUCUAUGUCGAUCGUUACACGACUUCGGUUCAUGUUAUUGUUUUAAUUCAUCGAAAAAAAGUAAAUAAAUAGUAAAAAGGUAUGAAAAAAAUAAUAUCAAUAUAAUUAAACUUUUAGUACAAAGAAAAUGCCCGAACGGAGUAUAAAUAAAUAAUCCAAGUUGUCUUUAUCCUCGAUAGAUGGCGUUGGGAUCGAAAUAGAUCGCGCUAUGGUUUCGUUACAUUCAUUUGGUUGGGUAUCGGCCGAGCGCUUCGGUACUAUCGUAGAAAAAGUGUAUUAUCAGUCGUAUGAUUAUUUGUCUGUAGUGGUCCUGCUGUUUCGUAUAUUCUAAAUUGGUUUCGUUGUAUUUGUCAAUUAAUAAGUUUAUUUGUUGGGUUUUCCUGGUUUUCUGGUUAAACUAUUUAACGUAGGUUUAGUUUGAUAUCGAUUAUUAGUAGUUACUGUAGUUAGUUUUUUUAAUAAAAUUGUAAGUCUAAUUUAUAAAUUAAUUAGAUUAGAUUUAAGUCGUUUCUUUUAAAUUAUUUAGUUUAAGCUUGGUUAUUAUAGCAUAAAGGAUAGGUUCUAAUAUAAUUUCUUUUUUAAUUGUUAUAAAUUCGUAAUUCGUAGCUUUCUUUAGUUUUAAGUUAGUUUUCAUCUUAAGUUCGGAAAGAUUAUAAUAUUUCUUUAGUUAAAGUCCGUUUUUAAACUAUUUUUUCAAUGCCCUAAGUGAGUAUACAUCUAUUAAAAUCAAACGCAGAGCUCAUUAUGUUGAUUUUUGAAGAGUUCCCUGGAAUAUCUUCCACAUCUCAUUUUUGAAAAGAUCCCGCGAGAUCGGGAACUCAUCAUCAUCAUCAUCAGCCUAUAGCUAUGGGAACUAUGUGGUUAAAACCAAAAUUUGCCGGAAGUCACUAUUCCACGCGAACGAAGUCGCGGGCAAAAGCUAGUUUUAAUAAAUGUUUAUUUCAAUUUUAUUUAU
rnacentral:sRNA from 1 species